rnacentral:precursor_RNA from 1 species
GAGGACCGUAUUCAUGGAAGAGGAUUGAACAGACUACUGAGUUCUUAAGAGAAAAAUGGCACUUAAGAAAUUGAUGGUGAUAUCAAAGGAAGGUUACUUAUUACUCUUGGACUUUGAUGAUGAGGACGAUGACAUAAAAGUUUCAGAGGAGGCUCUUGCGGAAGUAAAGAGCCCAGGAUUUGAUAAAAAUGAGAAUAUAUCGCCUCAAGCAGAAGCAGAUGAAUAUAUGGGAGAUGAAGUAGACAGUAUGUUGGAUAAAUCUGGAGUAAAGAACCCAGCAAUUGGUAAGGAUGAGAAUAUAUCGCCUCAAGUAAAAGGAGAUGAAGACAUGGGUUCAAUAGAGUACUUCAAAAGUUGUGUUUGUGUUACCUUCACUGGAAAAGUAGAUUCAGGAAUAUCAGCAUUUCAAGAGAUGGAAUUGACAGUAUGUUGGCUACAUCUGGAGGUCUUUUCUCCUGAGAACACGGGACUCCAGCAUCUUCGGAUUCUGCUCUUGGAGGUGUGGGUCCCUGCCUCUCUGCACAGGGGAACUUAUGUCUCUCCACAUGUCCGCAAAUGUCUACCCAAGAUUAUACAUCUUCCAAAGGCUUUCAAAUACUUCUUUACAUAAACAAGGGGUUUGCCCCACAUCCUCUAUAUUGCAGAAAACAAGACUAGGCUCUACCUCUGUAGAUCAAGCACGACUGAAAUCCGUGCUCUCAAAAGAUGCUGGGGAGAAAGAGUGCCAUUCUUCACAAAUGCUGAUGUGUGCAGCUGAACAGAGCGUUGAGGAAACGUCAGUGAUUUUAUAACUACUUAUCAUGUUGGGAGAUUGUUGUGAUGAUUGCCUGGACUCUCAGAUGUUACACAGGCUGCAUCAUUGGACUGAAAGUGAAUGGCCCAUGUGUUGCCACUGAUGUGAGCCAUUUGCCUGUUGUGCUUCAA